rnacentral:misc_RNA from 1 species
GAUGAAGAACGUAGCGAAAUGCGAUACGUAAUGUGAAUUGCAAAUUCAGUGAAUCAUCGAGUCUUUGAACGCACAUUGCGCCCCCUGGUAUUCCGGUGGGCAUGCCUGUCCGAGCGUCAUUGCUGCCCUCAAGCACGGCUUGUGUGUUGGGCCCCGUCCUCCGAUCCCGGGGGACGGGCCCGAAAGGCAGCGGCGGCACCGCGUCCGGUCCUCGAGCGUAUGGGGCUUUGUCACCCGCUCUGUAGGCCCGGCCGGCGCUUGCCGAUCAACUCAAAUUUUUAUCCAGGUUGACCUCGGAUCAGGUAGGGAUACCCGCUGAACUUAAGCAUAUCAAUAAGCGGAGGA